rnacentral:rRNA from 1 species
GGGCGAAAGCCUGACGCAGCAACGCCGCGUGAGUGAUGAAGGCUUUCGGGUCGUAAAGCUCUGUCGAGGGGAAAGAAGUGUAUUGUGGCUAAUAUCCACGAUACUUGACGGUACCCCUAAAG